ensembl:lncRNA
CACAGCUGUAAGAAGAACAACACACUGCCUUGCCUGCUAAUUUCUAGGUCCAGGUGACAACCUGUGGCUCGUUAAGAGAUGGAGCUAAUUGGAGAGGAGCAGGGGGAGGAGGUUGGGUCUCUGCCAGCUGUGCUGCUCCUCACCCUAAGAUAAAAGGGAGACAGCAGGGUGUGGUGACUGUUUCUGAGAUGGAGUUUGGCUGGGGGAAAUGUUAGUCUUGGGAUUAGGAAGCUUUCUCAUGGACUCCUGUGGGAGAGAUGAAGAGAGGUGAGGAAGGAGCUGCCCCAUAACUAGAAGUUGGAUGUUCUGGGAAGUGCUCUGCUGCGUGGAAAGAAAUGUUUCUUCAGAAUGAACUUUUUGCUGCCUGUUUGACACUUGCUUUCCAGGUCCAGACUCCAGCCAGGAUCAAGGGUAGAGCUGGAAACUUGGGAGAAACAAAGUUCUUGUGAAAUUUUCAGACAAAUUUUGGAAGCCCACACAGCCUACACUGGUUGGACAAGCUUCAAAAUAAGUACAUGCUUCUCAAAGCUUUGAUGCAUCCGGACCUUUUGGGAUUUCUGCCAUUGAAGGUCAGCUUAGCUGCGCCCACACCACCACUCAAAGCAGGGAGGAGAGCCUAGGGCCAGACCAACUCGGAGACGUUGCAUCAGCACGGCAGGUCAAGUGAACACCGAACCUGCAGCAAGAACAGAGCUGCAUCCUUAGACUCCCUCCUUUCCAGAAAAUUAAGUGAGGUCACUCAGAAAGCAGAGAAAGAAGAGGGGAUGUAGACUGUACCCCAUCCUACACAUCACAGUGAUUUAUACUAAAAUUAAUGGCACUCAGCUGCUCGCCAGCUCCUUUCCCACAGCACCAGGAAUGUCGCGCACUGAGAAAACCUGCACCCCUGAAAGCAGCACAUCUUUCACAAUAAGAGAAUUCUGAAUACUUGCAGGCAAACACCGGACACCAGGCAGUCCCUCCCACAGCACCAAAGACUAUUUGACACUGCUGCAAAGGAGGUAAUGUGGUCUGAUUGAGGGUCAUGUACAUUUUUGCAAGAAAAAGAGGAAAAAGCCACUGAAGGCAACCUCCAUCAGCUGGACAAGAGCUCUCAGCUGACACAUCAUCCAUCCUACAGCAGUUCAAGGCAAUACCCACAAUAGUCCAGCGUUGCAAGCAGCCUGUCAGCAAGCAAAAUUCUUGCUGUGCUCUACAGUGUGGAUACGAACUCACCUACUAUGGCUCAGUAUGCAUUCAUGCUGGCAGCGUAGAUCCUUUCACCAGAAAAGUCAACUCUGCUGCCAGAGCAGCCCUGACUUCAACCAGCCUAUACAAGGGGGGAAAAGUCAUGCGUGUGGUUUAUGGCUUUGUUUUCUCAACCUUUUGCAGUGGUGUGGUUGUUCUGUGUCUAACCACAGUCCCCAGCUCUAAGAUGAGCUGUAUGACGAAGUCUAACUUAAGAAUUUUUCCUCUUGGCCUCUCUCUUCCUUUUGGGUUGAUAAGUGAACCCGAUGUGUGUACCCUUGCUGGUGUGGAGCCAGCACUAAAUGAAGUCCAUGCAAAGAUUCUCUUGGUGGGUUUUCUGUUAGACGCAUCCUAAUUUACAACAGCGAUAAUAUCAUUUAGCUGAAGUGGUUAGCUUACAACAUCUGUGGAGAUCUCACAGCAUCUGAAGGACAAGGCCCGCAAAUCCUAGAAUUUCACUCUAGGUGACCCUACUUGUGUGGAGCUAGAAAAUGCAUCAGAGGAAGAAGUUUCACAACUAAAGAGAAGCCCACAUAGUUUGGUUUGUUUGGUCUCGCAAAAGCAAACAAAAUAACUCCUUAGCAAACUUCAUUAGAAGCCCAAGUAUUUUUCUUAUGGGAAAAUAAGAUUGUUCAGUGAAACUGCUGGGAAAAAUUGAACUGACAGCCCAAGAUUAAAUUCACUUUUCUAAUUCUGAGAUGGCGACAAGUUUAACUAUUCUGGCUUGGCUCAGAUGGUUUGGGCUGUGGGCUAAGUCUGCGGUAGAUAUGAGUGUGCCUGGUGGGACGCCGGGUCUGGCCUGGAAGGGUGACCACAGGGUCCCUCUUUCCCAGCCUUGGGCAGAAUGAACAUAGUCAAAGCAGUGACCAGCCCCAAAAGCAGCAUUUUGUCAUUGUUCUGGAACAAACUGUGAAGUGGCUAAUAAACCCAUUUGGAAGAGCACUCAGCCAAACCUGUAUCAGGUAAAUGACUAUGGGAGGCAGAUGACUUCUCACCCUACUUUUUUUUUUUUUUUUUAAAGGACAUUGAAAUGUGCACUCAUCAAUGAUGACUUUUAAAGGAAACAAUAACAACACCUUUCUGACCUCAAAUUUUCUAUUGGAGGAUGAAAGCCCCACUGAAAAUUCUUGCUGAAGAGGCCAGAGCUUCUGGACCUGGAGCCUGAGGGACAUCCUGGGGGCUCCCACUGAAGGCAUCUCCCAUCAAAAGGGCCAUAGAGAUGGCAUGGGCAGGGUGAAGCAUAUCCCCACCCAAUCUCUUGGGUUACCUCAUGGUAAACACUCUCACCCCUUUCCUUCCCCUCUAGCCAGCACUGGCCUGCACAGUGGGCAUUUGCAUGCUUCUUAGCCAUUUUUAAUUAGAUCCUGAAAAUUCUUAUAUUAUGUUGUACCUUUCCACCCUGGGCCCUCACUGACUAUGGCCACUUGUGACAUUCUUAGCCACUUGCUUUCAUUCUUAGCACAGACAUGAAAACAGAUUUCUGUGUUCUUUGGACAAGUUAUUAGGCUUACAAUUAGUAAAGAGAACAAUGUCAGGCUCUGUGUAAAAGUUACAAGUGUGAAAUCGAGUUCUGCCAGUAAAUUGCUACCUUUUCUUUAGCAUUGCAAGCCACGCUCUCCAGUUUAUUUGAACACAUAAAAUAUGCUAAAUGUUUAGCAGCACCACUGUGUAAAGAAGAGUUGGAUGAAGUAUAUAUUUUUAAAUACAGUGAGUAAUAAAAUGUUGAGUAAAUUCCCAAGAAUAUCAUUUUGGGGCAAGUACAAUAGAAUGCUUAAUGGCAUAUAUUCCCAGGUUUGCUGUUUUUAUUCCUCCUUUUCUCCCGCUUUAAUCUCCUCACCCAGACAGUGGUUGUUGUUAUGGGAGCUGCUAGAAAGGGCUUCAUCCAUAGACACUUCCAGCACCGAGAGAAUGAGACGAGGAGCACCAGGCAUUUGCAGUCAGUGCCUCAUGUUUCAGCAGUGCACUGGGCACUGCCCUGUGCCCACCCCUGGCUGCAGUAGAUGGCAUCGAGCUGCUGGGCAUGCACUUGGGUGGUGGUUCAUAAGGACCACAGGAAACAAGGAAAAUUAUAAAGCGAAUGGGGGGGGGGGAGGGAUAAAGGCAAACAAGCCUCCUUCACAAAUUCAUUUUCUCCAAAUUUAUUUCCUUUUCAUUUAACUCGGUUGAGAAAUGUCCCCCCAGACUUCAUCAGAAAAUCAAUCUCCCCAUUUAAAGUUCUAAACGCAGUUCUAAGCAGCUCUGAUAUGCAAAGCGGCGUGAGAAAUCCAAACCCUCAUCAGACAAUCUGCACGUUGUUUGGAGCCACCGCUGCAGGUGAAGUCAGCAUCACUUCUCUCCAGACCAAACUCUGUGGGCUGAAUUGAGCCGAUGCUGCCCAGUUCCUGUGGCAAUUCCUGUAGCUGGGCUUCGGUAUGCAUAAACUCUCCACAUUUAGGAUAUUACCCUUCACAGAGCAGCUUAAUAUUUCAACAGGCCUUUUUAAUUUCGUAGCGCAAAUCACCUUUUACCCUUUGCCACACAGUUAUGCGCCGGGUAGCGCAGUGCACCCAUAUACCCACUGUUUAGCUGGUUUUAUACUGCUGGUUUGCAACUAACUGUCUGUACUUUGUUUCAAUAUUAAAAACUGUCUGCUGUAUGGUAGCUCUGAGAUCAUGUUCCCAAACCGCUCUCAGUUCCUGCUGCCUUUCUGUGCUAUCUAUCCUGGAAAUGGGAAUCUUUAUUCCAUAGGCUCAUAAGAGGGUAAAUAUACAUUUUCUAAUUCUAGGAGAUAUAUUCAAAAGAAAAACAAACAGCAGAUUCUGAUGUUAUAGUUCUCAUAUUUAGCCUGUAUUUUCUAGAACGUUACUUUUUAGUUGUUUUAAAAGUUGUACUAACUGUAAUCUAGGGAGACGUUACCUUCAUUUUGAAGCAUCAACCAAACACCAUAAUAUAAAUGAUGCAUAUUUGUUAUCUUUAAUUGUAUAUAUAUAAAAUAAAUAAAUAAUAACUGGGUAGUAUGGAGCAGUAUAUUUUCUAUACUGUCUCUGAGUUAUCAGUUGAUACAAGACAGUGCUACCAGUACGAUAGAUGUUCAAACUGCAAAUGUUUGGCACCAGGUAAAAAGUCUGUGGAGGGAUGGAACAACAUUCACUGCAGUUUGCUGGAUCAGCUCACCUUGUAGUAUGUCUGGGAGCUGAAUUUUACCCACAUACACAUGUAUAUCACCCAUUAAUACCCAUAGGCUGGAAGGCUGCCCUUCUAGAGAGAGAAAUCUCAGCAUCUCUAAUGAGCGGCCAAUUCCCACAUCCUGUGGCAUCUCCAAAUGAUAUUUGGCAGAGAUCUGCCUUUAUGGGAGUUGUAUUGAUGGAGUUUUCUCUCCAAGCAGAGCAGCACUGGCAAUAUGCAGGGGAUGAAUUUCUCUUCUAAUACAUUUUCCUUUCAGGAGUGAAGACAGUUUUGGCCAGCGAACCAACUACUUCAUCUGUGAGUGAAAAGCCCUGAAGUUACACUUUCUUUCUGUCUUUUGCAACCACUUUCUACAUGACUGCCAAUAUCAAUGGAAGCCAACAAUUCACCACUUAAAGCGCAGAGAGGGGGGAAAAGAUUAGUCCUCUACAAUUUAGUCUUUUCUUUCUUUCCUGGGGAAAAAAUAAGAAGUUGCCACAUCAUAAAGGAAUGACAGAACUGCCCAAAGUAACAAUGGUAUGAACCGUUAAUUAUUUCAGGCAGUCCCUCCAGCAAGCAGUGACAGUCCCAGGCUGGGUCCCCUGGUUGGAACUCACACUCCUU